CAUCGAGCUUCUCCACUUUACAGCGAGGAGACGGGAACAGAGGGAGGUCACACGUGUUCUCCGAAUUCCACCAAGUUCGACCCCAGAGCUGAGGCUUCAAGGUUUCAACCCCAAUUACGCCUCUUCCUCCUGCGUGUCACCACAGAAUUUGUGGAUGUCAACUUCACAAGAAGAAGAGCUGGCUGCAGAUGGGACAGCGUGCCCCGUGGAGUCGUGAGUCCCAGAGUCGGAACAAUGGGUCUUCGUGGGCAGCCCGUCCCUCCCGUGGAGCGCGUGGCCGAGGAGGGGUCCGAGGAAGGGCUGUAGGUGAAAAUCCAUCGUUAGGAGGAGGCGCAUCCGAGGAAGGGCUCCUGGGCUCCUGAGGACCCCGGAGCCUCCCUCCAUCUGCUCUCUCCUCCGCACUCCCAGGCGUCUCUAACCUGCAGGCCUCCUGGGGGACGACGUGUUUGCUUUGGCCCAUAAAUCAGUCCCACGGAUCACUUCGGGAAUCGUUAGGCUUUAUCAUGACGCGUUGCCACCUUUGAGGGAAUAAUUGCCCAGUUUGGCCAACUUGGGACCUGCUUCCUUCAUCUUAAUUUCCUCUCUGGGGAUGCCCUAAUUAGUAUUUACUUUCACUUAAAAGAGAGAAAUUUCUUCUGAUGCAAUCAACAGUUUCCCUUGCGUGCCAAGCUUGUUUUAUGAUAUUAAGCAUUUAAAUAAAAAAUUAUAAACGUACCGUGAAAUGCUGAUGGGG
rnacentral:lncRNA from 1 species